rnacentral:rRNA from 1 species
AUUGAACGCUGGCGGCAUGCUUUACACAUGCAAGUCGAACGGCAGCACGGACUUCGGUCUGGUGGCGAGUGGCGAACGGGUGAGUAAUACAUCGGAACGUACCCAGUAAUGGGGGAUAACUAUCCGAAAGGAUAGCUAAUACCGCAUACGCCCUACGGGGGAAAGAGGGGGAUCGCAAGACCUCUUGUUAUUGGAGCGGCCGAUGGCUGAUUGGCUAGUUGGUAGGGUAAAGGCCUACCAAGGCAACGAUCAGUAGCGGGUCUUAGAGGAUGAUCCGCCACACUGGGACUGAGACACGGCCCAGACUCCUACGGGAGGCAGCAGUGGGGAAUUUUGGACAAUGGGCGAAAGCCUGAUCCAGCCAUGCCGCGUGUCUGAAGAAGGCCUUCGGGUUGUAAAGGACUUUUGUCGGGGAGGAAAUCCCCAGCGCUAAUACCGCUGGGGGAUGACAGUACCUGAAGAAUAAGCACCGGCUAACUACGUGCCAGCAGCCGCAGUAAAAC